rnacentral:rRNA from 1 species
GACGAACGCUGGCGGCGUGCUUAACACAUGCAAGUCGAGCGGUAAGGCCCUUCGGGGUACACGAGCGGCGAACGGGUGAGUAACACGUGGGUGAUCUGCCUCGUACUUCGGGAUAAGCCUGGGAAACUGGGUCUAAUACCGGAUAUGACCUUGGACUGCAUGGUCUUUGGUGGAAAGAUUUAUCGGUACGAGAUGGGCCCGCGGCCUAUCAGCUUGUUGGUGGGGUAACGGCCUACCAAGGCGACGACGGGUAGCCGGCCUGAGAGGGCGACCGGCCACACUGGGACUGAGACACGGCCCAGACUCCUACGGGAGGCAGCAGUGGGGAAUAUUGCACAAUGGGCGAAAGCCUGAUGCAGCGACGCCGCGUGAGGGAUGACGGCCUUCGGGUUGUAAACCUCUUUCGACAGGGACGAAGCGCAAGUGACGGUACCUGUAGAAGAAGCACCGGCCAACUACGUG